rnacentral:rRNA from 1 species
AGCGAACGCUGGCGGCAGGCCUAACACAUGCAAGUCGAACGGACCCUUCGGGGUUAGUGGCGGACGGGUGAGUAACACGUGGGAACGUGCCUUUAGGUUCGGAAUAGCUCCUGGAAACGGGUGGUAAUGCCGAAUGUGCCCUUCGGGGGAAAGUUUUAUCGCCUUUAGAGCGGCCCGCGUCUGAUUAGCUAGUUGGUGAGGUAAUGGCUCACCAAGGCGACGAUCAGUAGCUGGUCUGAGAGGAUGACCAGCCACAUUGGGACUGAGACACGGCCCAAACUCCUACGGGAGGCAGCAGUGGGGAAUCUUGCGCAAUGGGCGAAAGCCUGACGCAGCCAUGCCGCGUGGAUGAUGAAGGUCUUAGGAUUGUAAAAUCCUUUCACCGGUGAAGACAAUGACUGUAGCCGGAGAAGAAGCCCCGGCUAACUUCGUGCCAGCCGCCGCGGUAACAC